AGGGCAUGAAAGUAUAAUGACUUUCCUAAAACAGAAGAAAAAGGAAAGAUUAUAAUUUAGGACACAUUUCUUUUUAACAUAUAAGUAGUACAUCUAUUAUCAUUGUGACAGAGGCUGGCACUAAAGAAAAGUGCCAAGCAGAAGAGUGUGUGGAACUGAUCACCUUGACAGGGGAGGGGCCCCAAGGGAUUGGAAUCUUGAGAAGAUUCUGUCUAGAAGAGCAGUUGGUCUCUCAGUUGGGAGAAGCCAAAGAGAUAAGGGUAAAAAAGACUUUCUCCUGAGGGUUACUCACUUUUUCCUGUCUAUGUCUGGAAAUCCUUCCCCCCAACAUUUCCAAAUUGAAAAGAUUAUUGAAGAGGAAACCUGAGAAAGACAUCUUAAAUCUCUGCCCAAUUUUACCUCAGCUCCUGUUGCCCUGAGUCUUAAGUGUGGCCAAGGGGCCAAACCCAGGCAAAUGUCUUCUUUCAAUACUAAAAGGAAGAGUGAAAGCAUUGCUUGAGAAAUUUAGGAAGCAUCUGGUAGCUAAAGGCCAAAUUUACUAUACUAAGAAGAGAAAAGAGGAGAAACAGAGAUUAUGAAGCAGCAAGCAAGCAAUGACAGAAGAGUGUACCAGCCCCAUUAUUAUGUAUUUUAUAUCACUGAAAUAACUAAUGUGGAGAAGAGAGAAAUUAUAAGAAAAUGCAUGCAAAGGACAGAAGCUGGAGAUGGGUCACCUGUCAAUCAAAGGAAAUUAAAUUUCAAUGUUACUGGGAAAAGCAGUUUGGAACCAAGCUAAUGGUGACUGUUUUUGAGUUUUGGGGCUGAUGGUGGUGACCCUGAAGGAAGAAGUUGGGUUUAUCUCUGGGAUAAUCAAGUUGGUGGUGACCUGGCUGAUUUAAAGGUGGAAGAAGAAGGACAAUAGUCCAUAUAUCUCUCUAUGACUGACUCUGUUUCAUGCUAGUGACUGAACUGCCAUUUCUCUCAAUAUACUCCAACAUAACACUCAUUGUAGAUAAUAGGGAAAUGCCACCCCUCUUACCUUAUCCUCCAUCUUUCCUGUUUACCCCAAUCAACCCUUACUUGAAAUAAAGAAGAGAAAAGAGUAUUUCCUCUCA
rnacentral:lncRNA from 1 species